GGGUUGUGAGGUUAAGCGACUAAGCGUACACGGUGGAUGCCCUGGCAGUCAGAGGCGAUGAAGGACGUGCUAAUCUGCGAAAAGCGUCGGUAAGGUGAUAUGAACCGUUAUAACCGGCGAUGUCCGAAUGGGGAAACCCAGUGCAAUUCGUUGCACUAUCGUUAACUGAAUACAUAGGUUAACGAGGCGAACCGGGGGAACUGAAACAUCUAAGUACCCCGAGGAAAAGAAAUCAACCGAGAUUCCCCCAGUAGCGGCGAGCGAACGGGGAGCAGCCCAGAGUCUGAAUCAGCUUGUGUGUUAGUGGAACGGUCUGGAAAGUCCGACGGUACAGGGUGAUAGUCCCGUACACCAAAAUGCACAGGCUGUGAACUCGAAGAGUAGGGCGGGACACGUGGUAUCCUGUCUGAAUAUGGGGGGGCCAUCCUCCAAGGCUAAAUACUCCUGACUGACCGAUAGUGAACCAGUACCGUGAGGGAAAGGCGAAAAGAACCCCGGCGAGGGGAGUGAAAAAGAACCUGAAACCGUGUACGUACAAGCAGUGGGAGCACCUUCGGGUGUGACUGCGUACCUUUUGUAUAAUGGGUCAGCGACUUAUAUUCUGUAGCAAGGUUAACCGUAUAGGGGAGCCGCAGGGAAACCGAGUCUUAACUGGGCGUUAAGUUGCAGGGUAUAGACCCGAAACCCGGUGAUCUAGCCAUGGGCAGGUUGAAGGUUGGGUAACACUAACUGGAGGACCGAACCGACUAAUGUUGAAAAAUUAGCGGAUGACUUGUGGCUGGGGGUGAAAGGCCAAUCAAACCGGGAGAUAGCUGGUUCUCCCCGAAAGCUAUUUAGGUAGCGCCUCGUGAAUUCAUCUUCGGGGGUAGAGCACUGUUUCGGCUAGGGGGUCAUCCCGACUUACCAACCCGAUGCAAACUACGAAUACCGAAGAAUGUUAUCACGGGAGACACACGGCGGGUGCUAACGUCCGUCGUGAAGAGGGAAACAACCCAGACCGCCAGCUAAGGUCCCAAAGUCAUGGUUAAGUGGGAAACGAUGUGGGAAGGCACAGACAGCCAGGAUGUUGGCUUAGAAGCAGCCAUCAUUUAAAGAAAGCGUAAUAGCUCACUGGUCGAGUCGGCCUGCGCGGAAGAUGUAACGGGGCUAAACCAUGCACCGAAGCUGCGGCAGCGACACUAUGUGUUGUUGGGUAGGGGAGCGUUCUGUAAGCCUGCGAAGGUGACCUGUGAGGGUUGCUGGAGGUAUCAGAAGUGCGAAUGCUGACAUAAGUAACGAUAAAGCGGGUGAAAAGCCCGCUCGCCGGAAGACCAAGGGUUCCUGUCCAACGUUAAUCGGGGCAGGGUGAGUCGACCCCUAAGGCGAGGCCGAAAGGCGUAGUCGAUGGGAAACAGGUUAAUAUUCCUGUACUUGGUGUUACUGCGAAGGGGGGACGGAGAAGGCUAUGUUAGCCGGGCGACGGUUGUCCCGGUUUAAGCAUGUAGGCUGGUUGUCCAGGCAAAUCCGGAUAAUCAAGGCUGAGGUGUGAUGACGAGGCACUACGGUGCUGAAGUAACAAAUGCCCUGCUUCCAGGAAAAGCCUCUAAGCAUCAGGUAACAUCAAAUCGUACCCCAAACCGACACAGGUGGUCAGGUAGAGAAUACCAAGGCGCUUGAGAGAACUCGGGUGAAGGAACUAGGCAAAAUGGUGCCGUAACUUCGGGAGAAGGCACGCUGGUGUGUAGGUGAAGUCCCUGCGGAUGGAGCUGAGACCAGUCGAAGAUACCAGCUGGCUGCAACUGUUUAUUAAAAACACAGCACUGUGCAAACACGAAAGUGGACGUAUACGGUGUGACGCCUGCCCGGUGCCGGAAGGUUAAUUGAUGGGGUUAUCCGUAAGGAGAAGCUCUUGAUCGAAGCCCCGGUAAACGGCGGCCGUAACUAUAACGGUCCUAAGGUAGCGAAAUUCCUUGUCGGGUAAGUUCCGACCUGCACGAAUGGCGUAAUGAUGGCCAGGCUGUCUCCACCCGAGACUCAGUGAAAUUGAACUCGCUGUGAAGAUGCAGUGUACCCGCGGCAAGACGGAAAGACCCCGUGAACCUUUACUAUAGCUUGACACUGAACAUUGAGCCUUGAUGUGUAGGAUAGGUGGGAGGCUUUGAAGCGUGGACGCCAGUCUGCGUGGAGCCAACCUUGAAAUACCACCCUUUAAUGUUUGAUGUUCUAACGUUGGCCCCUGACCGGGGUUGCGGACAGUGUCUGGUGGGUAGUUUGACUGGGGCGGUCUCCUCCCAAAGCGUAACGGAGGAGCACGAAGGUUAGCUAAUCCUGGUCGGACAUCAGGAGGUUAGUGCAAUGGCAUAAGCUAGCUUGACUGCGAGCGUGACGGCGCGAGCAGGUGCGAAAGCAGGUCAUAGUGAUCCGGUGGUUCUGAAUGGAAGGGCCAUCGCUCAACGGAUAAAAGGUACUCCGGGGAUAACAGGCUGAUACCGCCCAAGAGUUCAUAUCGACGGCGGUGUUUGGCACCUCGAUGUCGGCUCAUCACAUCCUGGGGCUGAAGUAGGUCCCAAGGGUAUGGCUGUUCGCCAUUUAAAGUGGUACGCGAGCUGGGUUUAGAACGUCGUGAGACAGUUCGGUCCCUAUCUGCCGUGGGCGCUGGAGAAUUGAGGGGGGCUGCUUCUAGUACGAGAGGACCGGAGUGGACGCAUCACUGGUGUUCGGGUUGUCAUGCCAAUGGCACUGCCCGGUAGCUAAAUGCGGAAGAGAUAAGUGCUGAAAGCAUCUAAGCACGAAACUUGCCCCGAGAUGAGUUCUCCCUGAGACUUUAAGUCUCCUGAAGGAACGUUAAAGACGAUGACGUUGAUAGGCCGGGUGUGUAAGCGCAGCGAUGCGUUGAGCUAACCGGUACUAAUGAACCGUGAGGCUUAACCUUACAACGCCGAAG
rnacentral:rRNA from 1 species